ensembl:lncRNA
GGCCAGAGGCCCUGCUCCCUGUCCAGUCUCACGCAUAAAGUAAGCUGCUGAGCUGCGGACAGAAGCUGAGAUUGCCUUGUUCCAUGAUGCUGUAAAGGGUGUCAACAGAGCAUCAGGAGGCACUGACCCCAGAGCCCCUCCACGUCCCCGGGAACGGCCGGCCCCCCGUCGCCGCCGAGGGCCCUCGACCAGGAUGGACAGCCAGGGGAAGGCUGCUUGUCUCCACGCCUCUCCGACGGCUCUUCUUCCGGCCCCUCCAGCCCAGGUGGAAUCCUUGAAGCUGGAGUCAGGACUGCCGGGCUUGCGGAGACGUGGGCUCCCCAGGAAGUGCUGAGCCCAUGAUCAGAGCUGCACCCCCACAAGAAGUCACCAUGUGGAUCCCCAGAGGGGAUACUCCGGAAGUGCUUCCAUUCGGCCACCAGCAGCUGUGAUGUCCCCUGACCG